GUCAUGUCUGAUACUAUAGUUACCAGAUAGUUACCAGGCUAAUGUGCUGAACUAAGGAAGGAGCCUAAAACUCAGCAGUCUUUUUGAGAUUGGAUUGGACUUUAUGAAUAGGCAAUGAGCUCUUAAAAACGACAUUCCAUAUACAGAAAAACUAUGGGGAUUUCAGACUGCCUAAUUUAGCUUCUCCACGGGGCAUACUUGAGGUCGUUCACAUUUUGGCUAUGUAUCUCCACAUUGGUGCUAAGUUUGUGUACCUCGUUUCUGAUUUCACUAAUGCUGAAAGUUCAACUUGCCAGUGACCUAAGUGGAUCUUUUAUGAAUUAGAAAGUACCUCACUUGGCUUUUGAAGACUGGUAAAACAUUUUUAGGCUACAAAUAAAAGGGAAGUUUGUAAUGAUGUUAUAAAAUACAAUGCUUGGCAUGUGGCAGAUGCUUAAACAUUUGUUGAAUAAAGUUAUCUUCCUUUUAAGAUGGUCCAUUGAAAAAAUGGAGCAGCCGUUAUAUGUCUAUAUAUGUUUUAAUGACCUCAAGCUCAGAGAUCUGCUAGUGAUCUCACCUUUAGAUAACAUCUGAGUUGAAUGUCUGUGGAGUCCCCUGCCACUGGUAUAUCUCAAAAGAAAUAGCAUUAUUUGGUCUGGGCAGUACUGUCUUUGUCUAUUUAUCUAUCUUCACCUCUAUAAAGUGGGAGGUUGCAACUCUGUGGGCAGUAUUCCUCAGGGCACUAGAACAAUGAAUGAAAUGGUGUUACGUAUUUUCCCCUCAAGGAGAAAUGACUUCUUAAACCCCAAGUGGAAGAUUUUUCAUUCCGUCAUUAGUAUUCUAGUAUUCUUUUUGAAAUUGAAGUAGCAACAUGCCUUUGACCUGUUUCACAAAGUUGACAAACGACUUUUUGAGACAUUUAGCCAAGAGAUGGAAGGAGUGGCAGAUGUGGCUUCUGAGCUUACUCCUUCCGUCCACCCACUAGAUGUCUCUCUUUUCUGCCCUUAUCUGUAAGUGAAUAUAUUUAAAUAAGGCUUGCUAUUAAAAUCAAAUUGAAUCUGGACUAUGGAAAUAAUGCAUUUCAUUUUCUUAUUUAAAGCAUGCCAUUUUCAGUAAUAUACCCAUGACUUGAGUAAAACCAAAGAUGUUCUUUAGGGUAUGACAGUAAUUUGCAGUGGGAUUUAUUUAUCAGCAGUAUUGAUUUGGAACAUUCUAUAUGCUAAGCACUCUUCAAGAUGCUGGGGGUAGUGGUGAAUGAAAUACGUGAUUUUUGCAUUCUGGAACUUUAAAAGUAUAUUCAAGCUACAGCAAAGUAACGUUAAAAUUUCAAAAUCAGAAAUAAGAUUGUUUACAUUCUUGCAUUAAUGAAAUCCAGGAGAGGUAAAGGAUUGAGUAACAUUCUAAGAUUUAUUUUUUUUUGCCCUUGAAAUUCUCUUUUUACAGUACUUGCUAGUGUUCUCUACAUUUUUUUAAGGUUAGACUUUGUACAGUUUCUCCAGUUGAAAAGAUGCGAAGUUAAUUGCAUAAUUACUGAAACGUAAGACAUGUUCAUCCCUUAAUAUUACAUUACACAUACAUGAUAACUGGCUUUAAUUCAUCGUGCAGAUUUGAGGCACUCAUAAACUGGCCCUACAUUUGUCCAUUGAAAAUAUAUGUACUAUAAAUGAAGGUUUCUUCCCUGGAAGAGAAAGUUCAGAAACUGUUUCCAUAUUUGCAACAUGUGAUCUAGAACUACAUAAGUGGUACGUUUUUCAUGUUUCAAUCUGAAUCCUAAGUGAUGGCAUGGAUUGGUUUAACCAGUUGCUCUGUAUUAUUUUAGCAUAGAACUGACCAUUGGCAUCCCGCUCCCAAGAUAAUUUUCCUAAGGUGAGCUUUACCAUGGAAGAAGAUUGUGAUUUUGAUUUUAUAUCCCAAAAUAUAUUUACUCAAAGUAUGCUUUCCUCUGUAUCCUAAUAAUUUAAGUUGGCUAUUUUCCACAGAAAAUUUCAAUAACUUAAAAAUGCUCAAAGUUAUAAAAUUACCUUAAGAACGAACUCAAAAUGUAUGGUGUUCUGAGGUCCAGGCGUUAUGUGCUCGGGGUCCCUUACAUCCUUGGCUAGAUCAUUACCCUUUCCAAAGUAGCUGGCCUCCUUGGGCUUAUUAUAAACUUACAAAUGAGCAACUAUAGAAGGAAGUAAAGUUCCUUAAGAAAGUGGAUGCGGGCCAUUUUAGCUUAAGUAGUAAGCAAACGAGCUGAAGCUACACUUAUCAAGAAAGCAAACAGCUUUCUUCCAUGUGCUGCCAAAUUCUUUUAGAGUAUCCUUAUAAAACCUGCAAAAUGGACUCAAAAUUUAUAGCUUAAAGCUAACACUUAUAAAGAAGAUCCGCAUCCCAGGUUGUGAGUUUUGGGGAUAGCACUUCAGAAUGAGAUAAAAGCUGCUUGAGGUUAGAUACAUAUGAAGGCUUGUAAAUAUUUUGAAAAAUGGAAUUAAUAUGUGUUCUGGCAGCACAAAAGUCUUUUAGGUAGCCUUGAGUUAUUUUAGAGUGAGGGAGCUUUCCCUUCACAUCUCAUUGUGCCAAGUAGGACUCCUGCUCUAAGAUGUCUUACACACCUGGCUCUAAGCAGCAGCUGUAGUAAUGCAUAUGUGAUGUCGCUGCUGACCUCAAGAGGGGGCUCCACACAUUGAGUAAAAACAAAGCAAUCUUACAUGGAGAGGCCUUCCUGACACUUGUCAUCACUGCUGCCUUUGAAUGUGUACCUUAGUGUCAUCUCUGAGAUAAGGGCCAGUUCUAAUACAUGUGGCUGAUCAACAGGACAUGGUUGAAUACUUGGUAAGGACUUCUCUUUAGGAAUGGUUUUCAUGUAUUAAUCUAGUUUUAAUUAAUCUAAACAUUGAUGAACUUGAUUAUAUUUUGGUGCAGAGCUGAACUGCUUUAUCAGAUGGGAAGUUUUGUCUCAUGUUCACUAAAUCCAAGCUAGAUGGUGGAAGAUUGGGCCCUGAUGACAACGGAGCCAUCCUGGGUUCCUCUGACCGUGAUGAACCUCCUGGGAGAGGCAGCCACAGCUGAAGCACACACAGCUCCCUUCUGCUGUGGCAGCCCCACGAGCCUGCAAACCCCCAUCUCAUCACAGCCUCGGUUCUCAGCUCUGAGGCUGGCCAGACCUCCAACUGAUGGUGGUUGCUAUUUCAGGCCCAGACAUAAUCAAAUCCAUGUGAAGAAAAGAGAUUUCUUCCUGCGUGGCCCUUUGUAAGAGAAAGAAAAUGUUCCUACAAGUCUUCCAGAGGAGUUCUUAAUG
rnacentral:lncRNA from 1 species